GAUUAUACAAUGAGUACAACUAGUAAAUUUCUUGAAUAUUUAUAUAUGUUGCUUUAUUUUCCGAGUACUCAUUUAUUCUUGAAUUUGCACUCGCAAUCUGUUAAAGUAAAUUCUAUUUGAUAUGAUAUAUACGUUUCUUUGAUGAUUUGUGAAUAUCUAUUAUGCCUUGAUAUGGGACUUGUCAGUAACUCCAUGCUAACGGAGAAUAGUUAGCCUGUGUGCACAUAGUAUUCUGUAUACCUAGCUGGUGAGAGAGGCAUCAGCCUGUGGCGAUUGAUCAUCCCACAGUGGUCACCGACGGGUGUCAUCUGGUCACCGACGGGUGUCAUCUGGUCACCUUCGGGUGUCAUCUGAUCUCUGACAUGUAAUCCACUACGUUAUGAUAAUAUGUUUAGUAAGUAUAUGUAUAAGUAUAUGUAUAUUAAGAUAAAUCAUCUUACAAAUUAUUAAUAUCUGAAAUAUAUGAAAUGUAUAUUAAAUGUUAUUCCC
rnacentral:lncRNA from 1 species